GUCACUGUAGCUCAGUUGGUAGAGCAUGGUGUUUGCAACACCAGGGUUGUGGGUUCGAUUCCCACGGGGGCCA
rnacentral:tRNA from 1 species